CUGGUGUUCCUGUCCCUGUUCGUUGCAGAGGAGUUGGACUGGAUGGCCUUUUAAGUUCACUUUCAAAUUAAAAUACAGUAUGAUUCACUGAACCCAGUAGAGGAAGGAAAAGAAGUUAUUGGCUUUCUUACAGUAAAGAAAACUAUGGUCUUCAGUACUGAGAUGCAGAUUGCAAGCACCAGUCGUCUUCUUUGAAGAGAAAUGGGAACUGAAAUCAAGGUUAAAGGAUGCUGAAUAACAUCUUUUGUGCUGAGCAGAGAGACUAAAGGGAAGUUAUUUUCUUUCUUUAUGUUUUGGUAUCAAUUAACUCAGCUGCUUUCCAUGUCUGCGUUUCCUUUUCAGGCCUCUCUAACCUUUCUCCUCUCCUUAAUAUAAGGGCUAUAUUUCUGUCUCCUAAUGAAUAGCUGCAGCAACAGCAGGUGGCCCGAUGAUGUGGUUUGGGCUCUGUUCUUGAGGAUCCACUGUGUGCUUUGGAAACAGCUGAAUUUUGAGCCAUUUGGACACCAUGGUCUGAGGGAACCAGUGAACCAUAUAAAAGCACAGCAUCCCCUAAUUUAGCAGUUAAAAUAGAGGGAAAGGAGAACACUGCUGAAAUAGCAACCGGAGAUAAAGAUAUGCAGGAAAUACCCCACUGGAGGGUACAUUCUUGGCAAUUUUUUUUUUUCUUUGCCACCACCACAGCUCAGGAAGGCAGGAUCAGAUGAAAUAGUCUGCCCUAGGGAAGCUUGAGCAGCUCUUGAUGUGGCAUGCUUUCAGUUGUGUUGACAUGGCAUCUAAUGCGGAAAUAAUUGCACGUAUCCUGAUGUCCAGAAGUAGUCUCUGAUGCAGUUGUCAUGUGGCAAAGCAGCCUGUAGCUGCUAGGACAUCAGUCCAGAUGUGAAGAAGCUCUGUUGGUUCCAGCAGCUAACUUUACAAAUGUAGUAAAAAUAGUCUUGGGAGGACAAGGUUUUUGUUGGCUCUGCUAAGACUAAAGGCAUCCCUGUAGGCAAAAUCAGGCUUAGCCAUCAUUAUGGGUCAGACCCAAGGUCUGUGAAGUCAAAGAGAAUCUAUCCAGUGAUUCCAGCAAGGCUUGGAUCUGUCUCACUGGGGACAGAACAACAAAACAUUGCUUCCCCCAGUUCUCCCCUGUAAAACAAUUUUAGAGCUCUUGCAUCUGUCAUUUUUCUCUUUCCAGACCCUCUCUCUCUCUUGCCCUCUAAUAUUAUUUCUCUCUCUCUUCUUUGGCAGCAAACUGCUCUGGAAAAGUCAGAGGAGAAACAUAAUCAGGCUGUUUUCUUCACUCGCGCGCCGCCCUCGGCAUUGUCUCGGGUAACCAGGCUGCUGUUUGUUAACCAUCAUUGCCUGUUUCAAGUGGAAUUGUUAUCUGGAGCUCCAGGUUCAUCAGGCAAACUGGUUCAGUGCAGCAAGAAUACUGUUUUUUAUUUGUUUAUUCUGUUUUUUAUUGCUCUUUUACAGGCAUAUCUUGGGAUGAGGGACUUGUGCUUCUAAGCAACGCCACUGACUCCUUGUCCUUCCAAUGCUUUCCUCUGCAUCCAAUAAACAGAGUUGCAUCUGAAACUA